GCGUAUAUUAAGUUGUUGCAGUUAAAAAGCUCGUAGUUGAAUUUCGGGGUUAGUAAGUUGGUCAUGCCAUUGGUAUGCACUGGCUUUACUGAUUCCUCCUUCUUGACGAACCGUGAUGUCAUUAAUUUGGUGUUGCGGGAAAUCAGGACUGUUACUUUGAAAAAAUUAGAGUGUUUAAAGCAGGCUAACGCUUGAAUACAUUAGCAUGGAAUAAUGAAAUAGGACGUUAAUCCUAUUUUGUUGGUUUCUAGGAUCGACGUAAUGAUUAAUAGGGAUAGUUGGGGGCAUUAGUAUUCAAUUGUCAGAGGUGAAAUUCUUGGAUUUAUUGAAGACUAACUACUGCGAAAGCAUUUGCCAAGGAUGUUUUCAUUAAUCAAGAACGAAAGUUAGGGGAUCGAAGACGAUCAGAUACCGUCGUAGUCUUAACCAUAAA
rnacentral:rRNA from 1 species